UUAUUUUAAAUAUUUUUAAAGGCCCAAAAAUAUUUUAACUCAGCCCAUAUGAUAUGAUUUAAUGUUUUUGAAUAUUUGGUAAAGUUGAAAUUAUUUUGCCCCUAGAGUUCGAAUUAUUUACAAGAAUGCCAUAAUGGCAAACUUGUAAAUAAUUGAAACAUGAUUUAAUAUCUAGAUAUUUUCUCUACUUAAACUUGGUGCCCAAGUUAAUCCAUCAUCUUCUUCAUUUUGUGGGUGCCGAAUACUCCAUAGCUCCCAACACAAAACCUUAUACUUUUAUUUUCUCUCAAAACUUUCUUCACGAAAAUUGUCGGGAAUAUUGCGUAGAUCGUGUAUGUGUGUUUGCAUGUUCGUUUGAGAUUCGACAAGUUGUCGAGCUAUCGGGUCGGCGGACCAAGGGAAUUAACGGAGUUGUUUAAAGGAGCAUUGACGGAGUAAUACCGUAGUUAAACGGUUUCUGAAAGCUGGUCCGAUUUUGAUGAAGGCUUCCGAACGUUUAUUUCUCGGAAGUCUACUUUGAUAAAAGACUGUAAAGAAGGUUUUAAGUUCUAGUUGUCCGCAGUAGACUAGUAUAGUCUUAUUGUAUUUAAAUGUUUUAAUGCACAUUUAAAACUCUGAUAUUUUAUCUCAUCAGUUAUUUAAUAAAUGUGUCAUACGUCUCUUUUAAAAGCGAAAAAUUUAUAGUGUUUUUCAGGCUUGCUACGGGUUUCGGAGCAACCACUCCCAUUCCCUAGCGCCGGUCUCGACUCGAGAUUUCGGGUCGUGACAAAGGUGGUAUCAGAGCAGUUGGUCCAGUUACCUCUGCUAAUAUGGGAAUUGAGUGCAGUUGGUCAGAGAUACCACUGCUAGUCUGUGUAGAUGUUGUGUUACCUAGGAGCAAUAUACAAUGUCACUAGGCUAAGUUAGGAAUUACUGCGGAUUAUAGGAUUUCCAGUCAUGUCUUUUAAACGUUUUCAUCGGUUUUUCAAAUGUUUUUCAAAACGUCCUGUCCUAUGUGUGGUGUCAGGAUAUGAGUUAGAUGUGUGUGUUAACACAAUAUAUGUUUAUGGUUACUCGAGUAAGCAUUACGCUUUCGAGUAUAUAGUCUGCGAGGAGUUGUAUACUCUCGAGACUCAUACUAUCUAUGAAAUGUGUGUUUAUUAUGAGUAUAAUUUAUUGAUUGAUGUGGUAUGUUUAUAGCGUGAUCACUGAAAGGAGUGAUAUGCUUUCGAAUGUGAUAAAGUCUGCGUAGAGAGAUAUACUCACGAGACUUGCGUUAUGUGCUUUAGCCGAGAAUUCCUAAAUGAGUUGAUUAUCAUUAGGAUAUGGCUUAUAUGUAUGACAUAUGGUGAUAUGUGCGUUGUGAAUUGUUUAAUUGAAUGAUUAU